GACGAACGCUGGCGGCGUGCUUAACACAUGCAAGUCGAACGGAAAGGCCCUGCUUUUGUGGGGUGCUCGAGUGGCGAACGGGUGAGUAACACGUGAGUAACCUGCCCUUGACUUUGGGAUAACUUCAGGAAACUGGGGCUAAUACCGGAUAGGAGCUCCUGCUGCAUGGUGGGGGUUGGAAAGUUUCGGCGGUUGGGGAUGGACUCGCGGCUUAUCAGCUUGUUGGUGGGGUAGUGGCUUACCAAGGCUUUGACGGGUAGCCGGCCUGAGAGGGUGACCGGCCACAUUGGGACUGAGAUACGGCCCAGACUCCUACGGGAGGCAGCAGUGGGGAAUAUUGCACAAUGGGCGGAAGCCUGAUGCAGCAACGCCGCGUGCGGGAUGACGGCCUUCGGGUUGUAAACCGCUUUCGCCUGUGACGAAGCGUGAGUGACGGUAAUGGGUAAAGAAGCACCGGCUAACUACGUGCCAGCAGCCGCGGUGAUACGUAGGGUGCGAGCGUUGUCCGGAUUUAUUGGGCGUAAAGGGCUCGUAGGUGGUUGAUCGCGUCGGAAGUGUAAUCUUGGGGCUUAACCCUGAGCGUGCUUUCGAUACGGGUUGACUUGAGGAAGGUAGGGGAGAAUGGAAUUCUUGGUGGAGCGGUGGAAUGCGCAGAUAUCAGGAGGAACACCAGUGGCGAAGGCGGUUCUCUGGGCCUUUCCUGACGCUGAGGAGCGAAAGCGUGGGGAGCGAACAGGCUUAGAUACCCUGGUAGUCCACGCUGUAAACGGUGGGUACUAGGUGUGGGGUCCAUUCCACGGGUUCCGUGCCGUAGCUAACGCUUUAAGUACCCCGCCUGGGGAGUACGGCCGCAAGGCUAAAACUCAAAGGAAUUGACGGGGCCCCGCACAAGCGGCGGAGCAUGCGGAUUAAUUCGAUGCAACGCGUAGAACCUUACCUGGGUUUGACAUGGAUCGGGAGUGCUCAGAGAUGGGUGUGCCUCUUUUGGGGUCGGUUCACAGGUGGUGCAUGGCUGUCGUCAGCUCGUGUCGUGAGAUGUUGGGUUAAGUCCCGCAACGAGCGCAACCCUUGUUCACUGUUGCCAGCACGUUAUGGUGGGGACUCAGUGGAGACCGCCGGGGUCAACUCGGAGGAAGGUGGGGAUGACGUCAAGUCAUCAUGCCCCUUAUGUCCAGGGCUUCACGCAUGCUACAAUGGCUGGUACAGAGAGUGGCGAGCCUGUGAGGGUGAGCGAAUCUCGGAAAGCCGGUCUCAGUUCGGAUUGGGGUCUGCAACUCGACCUCAUGAAGUCGGAGUCGCUAGUAAUCGCAGAUCAGCAACGCUGCGGUGAAUACGUUCCCGGGGCU
rnacentral:rRNA from 1 species